GUUGUGGGCUCAGUGGUAGAGGACUUGUCUAGCACAUGUGAGGCCCUGGGUUCGAUCCUCAGCACCACA
rnacentral:tRNA from 1 species